rnacentral:misc_RNA from 1 species
GAGUACUGUGAUCGUGACAUGGCAAAGAGCGACCUUAGUAUGGCAACUCAACUUGAUCCCUUGAGGACCUAUACUUACAGAUACAGGGCAGCUGUUUUAAUGGAUGACCACAGAGAAGCUGAGGCCAUAGCAGAGCUGUCGAAGGCUAUAGUUUUCAAGCCAGAUCUGCAGCUGCUACAUCUUCGUGCUGCAUUUUAUGACUCUAUGGGUGAUAAUAUCUCCGCCCUUCAAGAUUGUGAAGCUGCCCUUUGUCUUGAUUCAGGCCAUGGUGAGACUAUUGAGCUCUAUAAUAGAGCACGGAAGCAGGCUGAUGAACAACAAAAACGAGAAUUUGAAAACAAGAUUGGCAUCGUAUCUUCAUUAUCUGGGCAAUAAUAUAUUUGCCACAUCUUUGUUUUUUUUCUUUCCUCUGAGUACAAGAAAGGCCAGGGUUUGUAUGGGCAUAGAAUCUUUAUGGAUUCUCUAUCUAGGAGCGUUGAGAUGCAGAUGUGCCAGGGCAUUCCAUAGAAAAGGAACGGGGAAUUUGGAUUAAAAAAAAAAAA